CCUACGGGAGGCAGCAGUAAGGAAUAUUGGUCAAUGGGCGGAAGCCUGAACCAGCCAUGCCGCGUGCAGGAUGACUGCCCUAUGGGUUGUAAACUGCUUUUGUCCGGGAAUAAACCUCCUUACGAGUAGGGAGCUGAAUGUACCGGAAGAAUAAGGAUCGGCUAACUCCGUGCCAGCAGCCGCGGUAAU
rnacentral:rRNA from 1 species